rnacentral:lncRNA from 1 species
AGGCACAGGAAGUUGCCUGGAGUGAGUGGGGAGGGGCGCGGGGGCGAGGGGCUGCAGACGCUAAAGCUUCCGCUUAACAAACGUGGAUAGCGCUUCCGCUCAAGCCGUCGCUGCUGGCUUCUUCGUCUCGAUGAGAAGAGCCCAAGGACUAGAAAUCAAGUCAAAAUCAGGGAUUUGAGGAAGAAUUUGGAUCACAGGGUGUGUGGCAACAGAAGAAAGUUGUGAGUUCUAUAGAUACCUCUUCACGUGGCUUGGGUAAGGGAGUCACAUGCCCCUCUUUUUAAGGUAGGAAACACUGACAAAAUGUAGUUUUUGAAAACCCUAAAUACA